AGCCCAUUCUCAGAUACCAAGUGAUUCUCCCCAAGUACUUUGGUUGCAUCAUCUAAAGAAGAUUUAGAGUUUGCUUCAGAAUCAGCAAAUUCUUCUUUGUAUAUUUCCUCAACCAUGGGCUUCCAAAGGCGCACCCGUGCAUUAAUAAACCAGUUUGCAACCUGGUUUCUGGUCAAUCCUGUCUGUUUUGCUAGUACGAUUUUCUCUGAAUCAUUAGGAUAGGGAUGAAGGAAAUGCUCAAAAAGCCAAGCUCGAAGAAUUGAAACAGAGCUCUCAGGAAGGCCCCUUUGAGGUCUCCAAGCAUUUCUCAUCACACCAAGCUGCUGGAGAGCCCUUUGUUGUCUGAGCUGCUGAUCCACAUAGCGGAGACGUGGUAUCUCUCCGUGACCAUUAGGUGAAGUACCUUGCUCCUCAAGUCUUCUCCUCGUUAUUUCUAUCUGGUUGUUGAUUGCAUCACGCAAACAGCGGAAAUGACGGGAAAUUGUUUGGAGAGCAAGUGCUGUGUAUGAUUUAGCUGCUCCAUGACCAGCUACCAUGUCAAAAGAAGACACCACAAUUUGCAUUUGAUGGUAAUAUUGUCUGUAUCUUCUAUCAACCUCAUCCAAUAUGGACAAAAGCUUUAUCUUGUUGUUCUGUAAAUUCUGCCUUUCUGUGGAAAAGAGGUCAGAAAAGGAGUUGGCAA
rnacentral:misc_RNA from 1 species